rnacentral:rRNA from 1 species
UACAGAGGGUGCGAGCGUUAAUCGGAAUUACUGGGCGUAAAGCGCGCGCAGGCGGCUUUCUAAGUCCGUCGGUGAAAGACCGGGGCUCAACCCCGUGUCAGCCAUGGAUACUGGGAGGCUGGAGACAGGUAGAGGCAAGCGGAAUUCCAGGUGUAGCGGUGAAAUGCGUAGAUAUCUGGAGGAAUACCGGUGGCGAAGGCGGCAUCCUGGACCGGCAUUGACGCUGAGGAGCGAAAGCCAGGGGAGCAAAGCGGG